AAUCAACACUCCACUCAGACAAUGCCCAGACCUCCAGAAACCAUGUGUCAAGCUUGGAUUGCCUUAGACAGGUGCAAUUUAAGAACAGCUUUCAUCCUCUUUUCUCUCAUAUUGUCACACUAUGGGUUCUGACUUCUGGCUCCUUUCCUCACAAGAAGCUCACCCAGCUGGAACUCUUAUGGGACCUUGGCACCAGAGACCGCAAAUUCCUCUUUGAAGUUUUCUAACAGCAACAAUGAGUUUCGCUCUGUCGCCCAGGCUGGAGUGCAGUGGCAUGAUCUCGGUUCACUGCAAGCUCCACCUCCCGGGUUCACACCAUUCUGCCUCAGCCUCCUGAGUAGCUGGGACUACAGGCGCCUGACACUACGCCCAGCACUGGAUAAAUACAGAACAAGAUAACAAGAGUUCCCAGCAAAGGAUCCAGGUGAUGAACCUUCAGUGUUGUGCUGUAGUAAGAAAAUGGCAAUCCCUUAACUACAAGGAGUUGCCAGACUCUGGUGAAUAUCAUUCUUCUAUCAUGCAGCUUGAAAUAACAUGGUGCUAAGCAUGGAUUUUUCCACCGAAUGAGGAAAUUCUAAUUCUAAUUGUUAGUCUCUUUAUCAAUGAUGCCAAGUGGCAAGGAACAUCACCAUCUUUGGAGACCUAGUGGUGGAGUUAAACUACUACAGGGAAACAACUUUACGUAUAGAGGAGUUGAGCUUCCUAGAGGAAAAGAAGGAAAAUCAUUCCUAAUGGAAGAUCAACUAUUCAAGAAAGAAAGAAGAGCAAUGAGAAAGCUGUGUGCAGCCUACAGCAAUUUGAUAAAGUAUUCUUUUGUACAUAAAAAUGGAAAUAUUUGCUUUUCUUCCCUACUUGAUCUCUCCAAAAUUCAGAAACUAUUAUUUUCUCUAAUAUCUGGGUACAACUCUUCAACAAAGAAUGAGAACUGCUCUGUUCCUGAAACCCUAUAGCCAAAGUUUGACAAUUCAAUAUACAUUCCAAGGGACAAGUCUCAUGCCUGAUGUUUGAGCCACACAGAUAGUUUGUGAGAAUGUCUGAUGCCACAACUGAAGAUAUUCAAACUGCAAAUUAGGAUAAGUCUCUGACUUCAUCCUGUGGAUAGCUUUUCACAAAACCAGAGGAACAAGACUCCAUAUCAUAGUGGUUCAAUUCAUCAAGACCCUGGCUUAGGAGCAUACUCCAAACUCUUGGUAAUAUCUUCCUAAUAGUCAUACAAAUAGCCUGCCUGGUGCAUUAUUUUUUCUUGAAAAGUUUUAACUUUUUGCACACAGCUAUCUGUCAAAUAUCAAAUGGUUUUCCUUCAGUGCAAAGAAAUGCAUUUUCAUGAGAACACUGUAACCUACCAAUGACAUAUUGAGACUGGAAACCCAGAAUGAUGGUAACUAAGAGUAGUGUUAAUACCUUUCGUUUUGAUUUAAAAAUUUUUUUUUUUUUUUUUUUUUUUGAGACGGAAUCUCGCUCUCAUUGCCCAGGCUGGAGUGCAGUGGCAUGAUCUCAGCUCACUGCAGCCUCAGCCUCCCAGUUUCAAGUGUUCCUCCUGCCUCAGCCUCCCAAGUAGCUGAGAUUACAGGCACCCGACACCGUGCCUGGCUACUUUCUUGUAUUUUUAGUAGAGAUGGAGUUUCACCAUGUUGGCCAGGCUGGUCUCGAACUCCUGACAUCAGGUGAUCUGCCUGUCUUGGCCUCCCAAAGUGCUGGGAUUACAGGCAUGAGCCACCGCACCUGGCCAAUGCCUUUAUUUUUGAUCUUACUCUCACCUGGGUGAGAACCUCACCAAAAGAGGGAAGUUGUUAAACAAGCAUUAUAGGAGGCCAUUAACUCCUGCACUAGGCCCCAGCAGAUUAGACUAAAAACCACAAAUGGAGUCACCCACACUCACCAAACUAAAACUGAGUUAUUAUCUGGUCUUCCAAGAAAUCAAGAGGGACAAAUAGCUUAAUUUUUCUAACAGGCCUGUUGCAAUCUUCACUUGGCAUGAUAAUGAAGUUCCUCUUGUUUUAAUCCUUACAUUAAGGAGUGAUCUGAAGUAAACUGGUGUUAACCAACCAGUUAACUCUUUAUUAUUCUGUCUCCCUGUCCCUGUCUUACAAGGAAAGUAACUUUGAAAUGAUCAGUCUCUUUUUGUUCGUUAUGUCAGCCUUCUUCAGCUCAUUUUCUGUCUAUAAAGCCAACCUCCACGGUCCAACUCAUUGGAACACUUAUUCUAUUUUAUGGGAUGGAGUGUUGCCUGAUUCUAGAAUCACAACUAAGCCAUUUGGAAUCUUUAAACUUAAUUUUUUAUAAUUUUAUCUUCUGACACUACCUAUUACUCUGUUCCUAGGCACACAGAUCUCAUGAAAGUUGUCUGUAUGUGAUUAUCGAUUUUUUUAUUGCUGUGUCUGGCAUAUAGAUAUUAUUUCUACCUAGUAGUUUUAGUGGCAUUUGUUUCCCAUGCAGUUUCUUCAGGAAGUUUAUUUCCAGUAUGUCCUUCAUUUCUCUUCUUCAUUGAUCUUCCUUUAGCCUUUGUUUGCUCUAUGAGAGGAAUGUAGACUCUGGAACUAACAAAGGAAAUACAAAUGUACAAAUAGUAUUUCCAAUACAAGAGUCCAUGUGACCUUUAAGAAGAGUCCAAGCUCAAUUGGCUGAAAAGUUUUCUGUGAGAAAAGCAUUUUCCCAAGGUCAAGAGAGUUCAAAGAACACAGCAAACUUUGUGGAGCAUGCCAAUUAAUUCUGUAGAAGUUGUUUUUGUGCGUGUGCAAAGACAUAGGGGCUUGGCUGGUCAUUCUGGUCUCCAGAUGGUCACAGGAUGCAGCCAGUAAUGACCAUGGAACAUCCUGAAACUGAUUAUUAGUUUAAUCAAGCAACAUAGUCUCAUUUGUUUGCUUGUACGAGAAAGUUUGACAAAAAUUUUGACUAUGUUCUCUCUCAUCCCUACUACUACUCCACGCUAAGUGACUAUCAUUUUCUGGCUGGAUUAUUGUAAUGACUUCCUAACUAGCUAGUCACCUCUUUAACAAUCUUGCUUCUCUGAAAUCUAUUCACACUGCAGCUGGAGAGGUCAUUUUAAAGUCUACAUUGGAUUUUGUCACUCCCAGCUUUAGAAAUGUCCUUGGCUUCCCAUGGUAGGUAGAAUAGCAUGGAAAAAGCUAUACCAUGGCCUGCAAGGUCCUGAAUGACUGGGACCCCACCUCCCUUCUCCAUUCUUCCACCAUCCCUCCAGUUUCUAACAAUCUUAGCUGGUUUCAUGCCACUGUCCCUUUGGCCUAGUGCUCCACCCAGCCACAGAGCUUCUUGUGGUCCCUCAAAAGCCCAAACUCCUUCUUAUCGUAGGGCUUUUCCAUGUGCUCUUCUUUCUCCCUAAAACAUGCUCCUCCUUCAUAAUUCAGUGCUACACAUACUGUUUGGAGUAUCUCUUUAAGGGUGGUAGCAGGCGGCUAGCAGUGGUCACUUUUACCUGGCCAGGCUGGGAGUGCUCCAUGAAGGAGGUGAUUCUCAAGCUUGAAGUUGAGGAAGCAUUCAUAGGCAGACAAGUGGGACAAAAGUGUAAUCUCAGCAGAGGGAACAGACUAGAUUAAAAUAUGGAAGGCAAGAAACCAUUGGGAUAAAAGUAGUGAUGACAUUUGUUAAAAUAAGGACAACAGACUGAGGAGGAAGUUUUGAGAGAAAGAUGAACUCUGCUUAGAAUCUGUUGAGUUUAAUUUAUCUGGGACUUCAAGAUGGAGAGAAGAAUAGGCAAUUGGGUAUGUGGGGAAGGAUAUGGACUAGUUAUCUAAAAGGUAGAGAAGGACAUGUAGAUCUAAAAGUUACCAGCACAAUUUCCCAAGGAAAAAUUUUAGAGUAACAAAAAAAGAAACAACAACAUUUAAAAAGCAGGCACCAGUAAUGAAGACAAGAAAUAGUCAGAAAAGUUGAUGUCUCUGAAAGCGAGGAGGGGGAGAGUUUCAAGUUCUCCAUAGCAAAAACAUAGAUAAUUUAAUGUAAGAACUAAAAGGACCGUAAGGGAUUUGGCAAUAGGAAAGUCGUGGAUGAGCUUUGCCAGGGAAAUGUGGGAAACUGAGAUAUAAGGAAAAUAGGUGGAGAUUGGGGAGAAACUGGAAUAUCAAGAAAUGUAGCUGGAGAUUGAAGACCAUUCUUCUGCGGAGUUUGGCUGUGAAAGAGGAGAGAGGGGGCAGAGGAACAGAGUGGUUCUUGUGAACCCCCAUGAAGUGGGUACAGAACUAUGAAGUGGGUACAGAGUUGAGUUAGAGUGUUUUAUUUGUAUUUUUUAGAUUGGAUGAGGCUAAUGGUUUUAUAGACAGAAGGAAGGUAAGAUUGAAAUAUAAUAUUUGAGAAAACAAUUUAUGAAACAAAAUUUUGCAAGAGAGGGUAGGGACUCUGCUUUUGAAACCAAGAAGAAUUUAGUAGAGGAACAAACUCUGAGAUGGGUAGAGAAGAGCAAAGAGUCAUGGCCUGGUUAUACAGCUGUUGACUGCAAUUUUCUUCUGUGAGGUAGGAGCUGUGGCCACUGCUAAGAGGCUAGACAAUGUGGUAAGUGGCUACCUCAUCUCAGCAACUUAGCUGAGAUACCUGUUGGUACAAAAUCAUAGCGGUUUUACAUGUCAAGGGUUCAUGGCUAUGAGGACUGGACCUACAUAUAAAGUAAAAUAUUCGAGGCUGUGACAUUUCUGCAUGUGUGCACACGGUCUGAUCUGGUCUCUCCUGGCCCAGCAAUAGGGAUGCAAGGUCAGAGGAGAAGAUUUGAAGGUCAAGGAUGUGAAAGUAGCUGCAAUAGCAGGUCAGAUCCUCUCUGAAUGUAAAUGUCAGACCCUCACAGUGACUGACUCUCAGGCCUGGAUACCACAUUUUUCUUUUCAGUAGAGUGAUUUAGGAAUCAGUCACAGUUCUAGGGACUGUCUGAUAAUGCUUGCCUGUACCUCAUAUUUGAGCUAAUAAACAUUGUCAAAUAACUGUUUGAGUGGAGUGAGAACUUUUAGGGUAGGGUAAUGCAUAUAAUUGUCUAUUAUCAUUAUAAAAGGCCAUGCUGCACCUGUACUUCUCACUGGGGAAUAACAACUAAAACAUGUGUUUUAAAAAUAUGUAUCCAAUGCAUUUAGCAUAUGUUUAUCAGGUAUAUUUGAUUUAAAUCAAGAGUUUAGGUGGAGGUAAUUCUUCACUUCUUGUAUCUGUAAACAUUAAAUUAUCUCUUUCUCCUUGCAGCGGUACUAACACUGUCUUCAGUGUUUUGUAAUCUCGGUUUUUGUUAUUUUGGCUUUUUUUCUCUUACCUCUAACUUUUUUGUCUUUGCUUAUGUUUUUUCUGCUGAGUUGACAGCGUCCCAGGCACAAAGUAAGCACCAGAUAAAUACCUGCUGAUUGACUGACCCAAAUCCCAAAGCAGGACGCUUUAGUCACAGGGUCGAAUCAGGAAAAUGAUGUUGCCAAUUUAAACCUGUCUUCCUGGUGGCUUCAAGCCACCCAUUCAUGGCUAAGUAUUGUGUGUGUGAGCAACUGCCUUGCAGCACUGCUCAAAGUGGCCAUGCUAUUGCUAUUAGGACCAUAGAGGGUAGAAUUUACUAAAGUACAGAAACGUUUAGCUUGGGUUUUCUUUCUCUCUAGUUGCUAAUCUUAAUUAGACUGUCAUCCUAAAAGAUCACAGGUACAUACCAUUUUCAUUUUUUAAAAAAUACAGCUUCAUUAUCAGUAGCAAAAAUUCUUAGGAUGAGGCCCUGGGUUAAAGCUAUAAACACAUAAAGAAAUUGUUCAAGGCAGCUAUAUUUGAACAUCUAUUUUUAUAGCCCAUUAAAAAGAAUUUUGUAGGUGUUUCCAUUGUAAGUCGUAAGGCGAGGUCUUUCUCUUUUUCAGAAAGCCAUGCCAUCUAUUACUCUGCAGUGUUGUAUUUUAAGCAGUGUCCAAUUUAAAAUGUUAUUGAUUUUCCUGGAAAGUUUUUAUUGCUCUGAUUAAUUUGUACUUUUAAAACCUUUGCCUGCUGUUUCAUGUGCAAAGGUUUUUUGAAUUAUGGAUGAAUAAUGUCUGAAAGAUCAUAAUUUCCCACAGGAAUGUGUCUAUAAUAGAGUGGCACACAAAAGAGAGAAGGUUCUUGUCCUCAGGGAGUUUAUCUUCCAGUCGGGAAAGAUAUAAAAAAUAAGUAAAAUGAUAAAUAAAUAAUUUUAAGUUGGGAUAGCAUUUGUAGAGUAGUCCCCCCUUAUCCAUAGGGGAUAAGUUCCAAGACCCCAGUGGAUGCCUGAAACUGCACAGUAAUGGAUCCUAUAUACACUGAUAUGGAAUGGCUGUAUCCCCAACCAAACGUCUUCCUGAAUUGUAGCUCCCAUAAUCCCCAUGGGUUGUGGGAGGGACCUGGUGGAGAUAAUUGAAUCAUGGAAGUUCAACACCAUCCUGUUCUAGUGAUAGUGAGUUAGUUCUCACGAGAUCUGAUGGUUUUAUCUUUUAUUUAUUUGUUUAUUUAUCUAUUUUUAGAUGGAGUCUCACUCUGUUGCCCAGGCUGGAGGGCAGUGGCACGAUCUCAGCUCACUGCAACCUCUGCCUCUUGGGUUCAAGUGAGUCUCCUGCCUCAGCCUCCUGAGUAGCUGGGAUUACAGGCACCUGUCACCAUGCUCUUCUAAUUCUUGCAUUUUUAGUAGAGAUGUGGUUUCACCAUGUUGGCCAGGCUGGUCUCGAACUCCUGACCUCAGGUAAUCUGCCUGCUGCCUCAGCCUCCCAAAGUGUUGGGAUUACAGGCAUGAGUCAUCGUGUGCAGCCAUGAGAUCUGAUGGUUUUAUAAGGGUGAUGCCCCCUUUGCUGGGCACUCAUUUUUCUCCUUCUUGUUGCCAUGUGAGAAAGGAAACGUUUGCUUCCCUUUCUGCCAUGAUUGUAAGUUUCUGGAGGCCUCCCCAGUCCUGUGGAACUGUGAGUCAAUCAAUUUUCCUUAUAAAUUACCCAGUCUUGUGUAUGUCUUUAUAGCAGCAUGAGAACAAACUAAUACAGCAAAUUUGUACUGCAGAGUAGGGUGCUGCUACAAAGACACCCGAAAAUGUGGAAGCAACUUUGGAACUGGGUAGCAGGCAGAGGUUGGAAUAGUUUGGAGGGCUCAGAAGAAGAUUGGAAGAUGUAGGAAAGCUUGGAAAUUCCUAGAGACUUGUUGAAUGUCUUUGACUAAAAUGCUGAUAGUGAUAUGGACAAUGAAGUCCAGGAUAAGGUGGUCUCAGAUGCAGAUGGGGAACUUGUUGGGAACUGGAGUAAAGUUACUCUUGCUAUGCAAAGAGACUGAGGUAUUUUGCCCCUGCCCUAGAGAUCUGUGGAACUGUGAACUUGAGAGAGAUGAUUUAGGAUAUCUGGCAGAAGAAAUUUCUAAGUGGUAAAGCAUUCAAGAGGAAGCAGAGCAUAAAAGUUUGGAAAAUUUGCAGCCUGACAAUGCAACAGAAAAGAAAAACUUAUUUUCUAGGGAGAAAUUCAAGCCCAGGGCAGAAAUUUGCAUAAGUAAUUAGGAGCUGAAUGUUAAUGGCCAACACACUGGGAAAGUGACUCCAGGGCAUGUCAGAGAACUUCACCGCAGCCCCUCCUAUCAUAGGCCCGCAGGCUUAGGAGGAAAAAGGGCUCUGUGGGCCUGGCCCAGUGCCCCCCUGCUGUGUACAGACUAGGGACUUGGUGCCCUGUGCCCUAGCCACUCCAGUCGUGGCUAAAAGAGGCCGAGGAACAGCUCACGUCAUGGCUUCAGAGAGUGCAAACCCCAAGCCUUGGCAGCUUCCACAUGAUGUUGAGUGUGCAGGUGCACAGAAGUCAAGAACUGAGAUUUGGGAACCUCCACUUAGAUUUCAGAGGAUGUAUGGAAACACCUGGAUGUCCAGGCAGAAGUUUGCUGCAGGGACAGGGCCCUCAUAGAGAACCUCUGCUAGGGCAGUGUGAAAGUGGAAUUGUGGGGAUGGAGUCCUCACACAGAUUCCCCACUGGGGCACUGCCUAGUGGAGCUGUGAGAAGAGGGCCACUGUCCUCCAGAUCCCAGAAUGGUAGAUCCGCCAACAGGACAGCUUGCAGAGUGCACCUGGAAAAGCUGCAGGCACUCAACACCAGCCCAUGAAAGCAGCUGGGAGGAGGGCUGUACCCUCCAGGGCCACAGGGGCAGAGCUGCGCAAGGUCAUGGGAGUCUACUUCUUGCAUCAGUGUGACCUGGAUGUGAGACAUGGAGUCAAAGGAGAUCAUUUUGGAACUUUAAGGUUUAAUGAUUGCCCUAUUGGAUUUUGGACUUGGAUGGGGCCUGUAGCCCCUUUGUUUUGGCCAAUUUCUCCCAUUUGGAAUGGGUGUAUUUACCCAAUGCCUGUACCCUCAUUGUAUCUAGGAAGUAACUAGCUUACUUUUGAAUGUACAGGCUCAUAGGUGGAAGGGACUUAUCUCAGAUGAGACUUGGGACUUGGACUUUUGGGCUAAUGCUGGAAUGAGUUAAGACUUUGAGGGACUGUUGGAAGGGCAUGAUUGUGUUUUGAAUUGUGAAGGCAUGAGAUUUCAGAGGGGCAAGGGGCAGAAUAAUAUGGUUUGGCUGUGUCCAAACUCAAAUCUCAUCUUGAAUGUAGUUCCCAUAAUCCCUAUGUGUUGUAGGAGGGACCAGGUGGAGAUAGUUAAAUCAUGGGGGUGAUUUCCCCCAUCUUGUUCCCAUGACAGUGUAUUCAUUCUCACAAGAUCUGAUGGUUUUAUAAGGGGUUUCCCCCUUUGCUAGGCACUCAUUCUUCUCCUUCCUGCUGCCAUGUGAAGAAGGACAUGUUUGCUUUCCCUUCUGACAUGAUUGUAAAUUUCCUGAGCCCUCCCAAGCCCUGUGGAACUGUGAGUCAAUUAAACCUCUUUUCUUUAUAAAAUGUAUGUCCUUAUAGCAGCAUGAGAAAGGACUACUACAUACACUAUGUUUUUUUCCUAUACAGUAUCAAGCAGCUAGCAUGUAUAGUGUGAAUAUAUCAGACAAAGGGAUGAUUCAUGUCCAGAUUCAUGUCCAGGGCAGGACAGAGCAGGAUGGUGCAAGAUUUCAUCAUGCUACUCAGAAUGGUGUGUAAUUUAAAACUGAUUAGUUGUCUAUUUUUAGAAUUUCCACUUAAUAUUUUUGGACCACUAUUGACUGCAGAUAACUGAAACUGGAAAGCAAAACAAUGGAUAAGGGGGGACUACUGUAUUUGCUUUUUGUUCCCCAUAUGUUUCUGUCAGCCUUACCAUUUGUAGACUUAUUAAAUGUAUUCUCCAUCAAGAAGUACCAUACAGUAUAACUUCUAAUUGAGAAAGUUAAAAAUAAGAAAAUGGAUUAAUGUUGAUGGGAUUACUGACUUUACCAUGUAUCUCAUGAUACAUGGUAGCAGUCUGCCUUAUAAAACUAUGAGAUGGGAUACCAAAUAUUCAACUAUGAUGCCAGCCGGAAGUUAACACGUUGUGCAGUUGGGGUGCUAGCAUAUGAAAUAUGGUAUGUGGUCUGAAGCUGUGACAGUUUUAUGGUACCAAUGCUUCCGUGGCCUGAAUGCAUGAAUUUAGCAAUAAAGGGGCAGAACUGGAAUGACACCUCUCAUAAAAUCACAUAGUGGCUGAAUCACAAAAGCUUGCAUCACACUCCAGUCCCCCUGGGAUCUGCUGGUUUAGGGGGUCUUAGAGGCCAAAGGAGGGUUGCUUCCACAGGGUACCAAGUAAACACUGGCUUAAUUGCAUUGGAAACUGAGUUUGCCACUUUUUCAUUUCCAAUUCUAAAACCACAGGAUGAAAAGUCAAAAAGAAGAUUAUGAUAUGACAGAAAUGAUGAUUCUAGCUAUAAUGGGGAAACAGUGUUGCUAUUACACAAUAGGAUCAAGAAGGGUGUUGGUAGAAAUCCAGCAAUCCUCUGGGGUGCUUCUUAAUACUGCCAUGUCCAGCAUCAAAAGUUAAAGGAAAUCCACAGCAACCCAAUAUGGGAAGAAUGAUAAAGGGACAGCUUUCUCAGGAUCAAGGUAUAGGUAAAUCCUUGGUUGAGGGGAAAAGAAACUUGAAAUUGAUAAUAGAGGAGUUGAGUCAUCAGUGCAAAUACAGCACCAAGACAAAUUAUAGAAAUAAGACUGUAACACCUACCCAUAUUUUCUUUCAUGUAUAUAUGUAUAAAUCUUAACUGUUUUUCCUACAUUGUAUCUCCGUUCUAUUAUUUCUUUAUUAAUAGUGGCUUUUACAAAUUAGUCCAUAGUUUACAGAAUAUUGAGACAAUACCAUGGCACAAUUCCAGAAGAAUUGGACAUCUUCCAGAACGCCUGAAUUUUGAUCUGGAUGAAACUUCAACUGGUCCCUUUUAUAUGAGGAAGAAUAGUUACUUAGUUAAGUAGGAACAUUUUUUUUUCCUGGAACUUUAAGCAUGGGGAGAAGCUUGUAAGUUGGUGCUGAGCUGCCGGAAGUUUGGCUUAUAGUGGACAUUCGUGAUUCAUUUUGGCUGUAUGGCAACCAAGUCCCAUUCUAUACUCUAUUUGAGAAUUCCUACUCUUGAAUCUUGGUGUGGGGUAAAAAGAGUCUAUCGCUAAUGAGGCUAACAAUGCCAGACAUUUAACAGCUUCUUUUGAAGACAGUUUAUUGUCAUGAGACUUAGUUAGGUUCAGAACUGGACUUUAAGGGUUAGUGAUGGAAGAAAUCAAGAACAGGGGUCUUUUUUCUUGUGACUGUGGCAAAGACACCUAUUAAUAUUACUUCCUUAUAAACAAUAAAGUUUCACUUAGUGUGAAACUUUCAGAUUUUAUCCUGAAAUUGGGCUCUCCAGCCCUGCCGAUGUGUUUACAAAUUAUUCACUAUCCUUUUAAUAAAUUCCUUUCCUGCUUAACUCCAGCUAGAGUUGCUAGAAACCACGAUAUCAACUACCAUAGCAUUUGUUGAGGCAUUUCCCAAUAUUUUACUACUGUUAUGAAUUCCUUUUUAAAAAUUCUUUUUAAACAACCCCUUUACAAAUAUUUAUUUUUAAAAGUCAACCAUGGACCUCGUACUUGAAAAUAUUUUAAUAUUAAGUAAAAUGCGUUCAUUAACAUUACCACUUCUAGGAGCCCCAGGUUGAGGAUCACCAGCAUAAGAUAAACCUAGCACAUAUUGUGCAGCAACAUCUCAUUAAUUCAAAUGAAAUGGGAAAGAUUGUCUAUAUCAAUGUGAAAUACUCACUUUUAAAACAAUGAGGUUUUAUUAUUUCCAAUUACUUACAGCAAGUAACUGCAUCUAACUACCAUCAAAGCAUUACUAGAAAUGUUAGAAAUCUACUAGAAAUAACUAGAAAUCUGCCAAGCUAGAUAUAUAGAGUACAUGUUAGUAUAAUCAAGUUUUAUUUUGUUGGAAGGGACCUGUAUUAUUCAGGAUUCUUUCUGUUUCAAAUAAUUUUUAAAAACUGAACUCAAACUGGCUUAAAAAUGAAAGGGAAUGUCUUGACACACAGAACUUAAAAAUCCAGAGGUUAAUCUGGCUUCAGACAUUAUUAGAUGUAUGGGCUAAAAAAAAGAGCCAGGACUCAGUCUCCCUCACUCCACUGCUUGGCUAUAGUUUCCUCUGUAUUGGUGUCAUUCUCAGGCAAGCCCUCCCCCACUUGCUAGCAAGAUAGUUGCCAGAAGUUCUGGGCCUACCUCUUACCCUUUCAGCAACCUGUAAAGGAAAAGAUUUCUUUUUCCGAAUAGUUUCCUUAAAAGUCUUAGGACUGCUUCACAUUUUCCGAGCGUGGACCAUGUGCCCUUUCUUGGCCAAGGAGAUAAAAGUCACUGAAUGUCUAUAUAAGGAUCAGAUGCCCAUUUCUGGAAGCUGAGGAUGAUUUUAGCUCUACCAUACCUUGUAGAAAUGGGGGAGAGGUGGUUCAACAAAGAACAAUGGGAUGCUGUUACCAGGAGAAGGAAUAAGAUGCUGGCCAGGUGAAAAGACCAAUUUCGCGAGAGAACCUUAAAUUACCAGCGCCACCUGGUGCAUCAAAACUCCUCUGAAGCCGGGCGCAGUGGUUCACACCUGUAAUCUCAGUACUUUGGGUGGUUGAGGCAGGAGCAUUGCUUGAGCCCAGGGGUUCGAGACCAGCCUGGGGAACAUAGGGAGACCAACCCCUCCCCCUACCCCAACACACCUCUACAAAAGAUUUAAAAAUUAGCCAGGCAUGGUGGUGCACGCCUGUCAUCCCAGCUAACUGCAAGGCUGAGAUUGGAGGAUUGGUUGGGCCUGGGAGGCUGAGGCUGCAGUGAGCUGUGAUUGUGCCACUGCACUCCAUCCUGGGUGACAGAGUGAGACCCUGUCUCAAAAACAAACAAACAAACAAAAUUCCUCUGUAACACUACUGAUGGCUACUGAGCUUCUACUUGUAUACUUCCCAUACUGAUAUAUUUUCUAUUCUAUUCAGCAACUUAUUCUGUUGCCAGUAAGUGUUAAAGUUCUUCCUUAUGUGGAAUUAAAAUUUGCUUCCUUGGAUUUUAAAAACAUCUAUCUGUUUAUGCUCUGCUCCGUGGAGUUCAGUACGUGCCCAUUCCUACUUAAAAAUGACACUCCUUACAGUGUUUGAGGUCAGAUUUCAUACAAAUAAUGCACCCCAUUUCUCAAAUGACUCUUUUUCUCCAGAACCUUUAUUAUCUUGGACACUUUUCCCCAAGACAUUUUCUUGCUCAUUGAUGUUGCCAUAAAAUAUACUUCUAUAAAAGAACAUACUUGGAAGAUAAAUAAAACAAGGAAAUGAGAGUACACCAUGAAAUACAGAAAUCAUUUUGUUAACUGUGACCCAUCUCUCUAAAUGCAGCCUGAUUUGGUUAGAAGAGCAAUCCUUGGAUUUGGAAGUAAAUAAAAUGCAAUGUCCUGCUUUCUUUUUCUUUUUUCUUUUUUGUCUUGACUAGAGUGACUGUAGUCUGGUUUACCCAAGACAGUCUCAAAUUAUCCAUUUUGGGCUAGUGUAAUUAUCAUGGUGCCCCCCUUCUCUUUCAAAACCUUAUUUUGGUCACGCUAGUCUUGAACCACUAUCUGCAUAUAUUGUCCAUAGUUUGAGAUAAAUCAUACCACAAGUUUUGGCUAUGUGCCAGAGGUAGCAAAACCUACAACCUGUUCAGUUUUUGGAUUUCAUCCAGGUGAGAUGUGCUGAUUGAGUCAAGGAGUUUCCAUGCUGGACAAGUAUGUACUCUUGGUUGAUCAGUGCUAGAUUAUAAUGCUUCAAAACUUUGUCUAGGUAGUCUAAUUAUUCAGAGGACUGUGUGAUAUUUGUGACAUUGCCAGAUGGAGCACGUUCAAGGAGAAAGACAACUAUGCAGCCACAAGAAACCCACACUAUCACCUUGUGCCUGAAGAAAUGGUGUUUUAUCAUCAUGUUGUUAAUCGAUUGACAAUACAAUUACUUACAGUUCAUUUAUGCUGGAAUAAAUGUAAUUACCGAUAUAUUUAGGAUUAUGUCUAUCAGUUUAUUAUUUGUUUCCUAUUUGUUCAAGCAGUUCUAUGUUUCUUUAAAAAUGUGAAGAAGACAUGUUGAUCCACUGAUUAAUGUUUCAAUGGCCUUAUUUUCUUGAAUAGCUAUUGGAGUGUUCAAAAUAGAAAUAGACCACAUUCCAAACAUGAUGUAUCACUAUAGUGGUUUCAGAGCAAGGGCAGAUUGAGUGAGCUAUGUGUAAGGGUACCCAGAAAAUUUAUCACCAAAAAUGAAACAAUUUUGAGAGUGACAGAGGGUGCUAUUAAUAAUUAUUCUGGAAUGACAGGUGUAAACCAGGACAAUUCCAGGCACACAAAGAUGUAUAGUGACCCUAAACAAACAUGUAUUUAUUGUAUAAUUAAUUGUUUCCUAUUAGGGAGCUGUGCACAAGAAUUCUGAUCAUGGAAGCUGGCGAUAGGAAACUUGUUGUAUUUGCUGUAUUAAGUGUGUACCUUAAAUAAUAAGUUCUAUGAUUAGGAUUUGGUCCAAGCAAAUUAAAUGUCUAGAAUUUACACAUCCAGAAAUUAUACAUGUACUGUAUCAUUUGUAGGCAUCAAGAUUAGUAAGUAUUACAUGAAUCAGGUCUUAAAUAGUUUGGGAAAAGUACAAGUUGUUUUGAGAUACCUCAAUCCUUCUUCAUUCGCAUUACUAAUCAUGAAAACAACACAAAUGUUUUUGUUUUCUUCUUGACUUGGGUCACAUUCCAUUGUGGGGUGAUGUAAGAGUUUUAGCCAAGCAUAGAAUAGUAAUGAGCAAUUUGGGAGAUUCAGUUCUAAAACCUUGCCUAGGGUCACACACAACUAGCACUUAGAAUCUAAGAACAUGGAACCAUUUGACUUGUAAGGUUAAUUGUAUACCUGUUGACUUUGGGCAUAUUUUCUAAGGUUAAACUGGAAAAACAAAGAGUCGGUUAUGGUCCACUUGUUCAAGAAAAAAAAAAAAAUGCAAGCCCAUGAGUCUUCUAGUAUUUUUCCUAUCCCAUUGAAAUAUACAAGCGACCAUAGGUUUCCUCUGCAAACAGCUGAGGCCUCUUGACUUCUGCUUCUAAGCCAGUAGUUUCCAGCUUGGAUGCACAUUAGAAUCAUCUAGGGGGACCCUAAGAAAUCCUGAUGUGGCCAGGCACAGUAGCACACUUCUGUAAAUCCCAGCACUUUGAAAGGUCGAAGUGGGCAGAUCACGAGAUCAAGAGAUCGAGACCAUCCUGGCCAACAUCAUGAAACCCCUUCUUUACUAAAA